rnacentral:rRNA from 1 species
AUUCCCCUAGUAACUGCGAGUGAAGCGGGAAAAGCUCAAAUUUAAAAUCUGGCGGCCUUCGGCCGACCGAGUUGUAAUCUGGAGAAGCGUUUUCCGCGCUGGACCGUGUACAAGUCUCUUGGAACAGAGCGUCAUAGAGGGCGAGAAUCCCGUCUUUGACACGGACUACCAGCGCUAUGUGAUGCGCUCUCGAUGAGUCGAGUUGUUUGGGAAUGCAGCUCAAAAUGGGUGGUAAAUUCCAUCUAAAGCUAAAUAUUGGGCGAGAGACCGAUAGCGAACAAGUACCGUGAGGGAAAGAUGAAAAGCACUUUGGAAAGAGAGUUAAACAGUACGUGAAAUUGCUGAAAGGGAAACGAUUGAAGUCAGUCGCGUGUACCAGAACUCAGCCUUGCUUUUGCUUGGCGCAUUUUCUAGUGUACGGGCCAGCAUCAGUUUUGGCCGCCGGAAAAAGGCCUUGGGAAUGUGCCACCUUCGGGCGUGUUAUAGCCCUUGCAUGUAUACGGUAGUCUGGAUACUGAGGCAACAUAGCAUGCCUUACGCGGCGGGGCUUCUGUCCACCCUUACAUGCCUUUGGCAUGCUGGCCCUAAGGGCUUUUAAACGCACCCCGUCCUUGCAAACCCCGCAACCAUGGGAGCCUUAACAUGGCCUUUCGAACUAUUCUGGGUUGGAGAAACCCUAACCCCGACAAUGUCAAGCUCAAACUUGGGGCACUUUCUGUUCGGGGCAAAGGGCACCCAACGUCCCGAAAACAAAGAGCCUUUCUUUUACACGGAAACCCCACGGCUAGUA